AAACACUACAGACAGUGAUUGCCAAGAUCCUCACUAUCAAGAUGAAAAUUUGUAAGGGCACCUGAGUAAUCUUGAUUUACUGACAAACUCCCCCAUAGAUUAAGAUUUGGGAUUUUGCAGUUAUGAAAGAAGUGUGACUAUCCUUAUGACUGUAAACAUUCCCGAUCAGCUUUUCUUUUUUUCCUUUGCCUUUCCCUGACUUCUCAAGUUCUUAGUAUAUUUUUUUAGAGAGGCAACAUAGUGUGGUUGUAAAUGGGUGGCUUCAAAGUUAGAAGUUCUGGGUUCAAACCUAGUUAUAACAUAUAAUGAGAAUAUUGGUUAAGUAACUUAUUUUCUAAGAAUUUAAGUUUCUAAAUCUAUCAUGGUAGUUCUCUAAAAGGUUAAGAUAAUAAGAAAUGACACAUGAAAAUACAUAUGAAUGUUCUCCCUUUUAUUAGGAAAAUUUCAGAUUCCUGGUAAUUUGAAACAAGUAUUUGGUAAUGAUAAAAUUGAAUUCAUUUUUAAUUUGCAGUUUUCAGUCUUGUGCAUGGGAGGAAUAGUUGCCCUACAGUAUUGCUAUGGUUUUCUAAAUGAAGUUGUGGGCACAUUGUUGCUUUCAUGAUUUUGUGCUAGGCUAUACAAUGGCUGUGUAAACAAAGUCAGUUACAACAUUCAUGCAGAGUACAUUAAGUCAUUCAGUAACCUUCCCCAGAUCAGUUGUAGGUUUGUUUGUUUUCACCCUGUGCUUCCUAGCUAUCAUUGGUUUAAACUUGGGAAAGUCACUGUUAAAAUUAAUGUCUAGCAUCAUACAUAAGUCUUAUUAAAGUGACAAAAGUACUCUUUCUUUCCCUGAAGGGGUGCUUUACAAGUAGUAGAAUUAGGGUCACAACUUAAGAUCUUUUUUUUUCUUUCAAUUAAGAAUGCUUCU
rnacentral:lncRNA from 1 species